rnacentral:rRNA from 1 species
AGGGUUUGAUCAUGGCUCAGGAUGAACGCUGGCGGCGUGCUUAACACAUGCAAGUCGAACGAACCUUCGGGUUAGUGGCGGACGGGUGAGUAACGCGUGAGAAUCUGCCCUCAGGAGGGGGACAACAGCUGGAAACGGCUGCUAAUACCCCAUAUGCCGCGAGGUGAAAUGAAUUUCGCCUGAGGAUGAGCUCGCGUCUGAUUAGCUAGUUGGUGUAGGUAAUGACUCACCAAGGCAUCGAUCAGUAGCUGGUCUGAGAGGAUGAUCAGCCACACUGGGACUGAGACACGGCCCAGACUCCUACGGGAGGCAGCAGUGGGGAAUUUUCCGCAAUGGGCGAAAGCCUGACGGAGCAACGCCGCGUGAGGGAUGAAGGCCUCUGGGCUGUAAACCUCUUUUAUCAAGGAAGAAGAUCUGACGGUACUUGAUGAAUAAGCCACGGCUAAUUCCGUGCCAGCCGCCGCGGUAAUAC